CUCGAAAAAAUCAGUUUUAAACCCAUAUGAAGGUAGGGUGGAUCGGGCCCUAAUUUUCCAAGCCAUGAAAUAGACAAGAAAAGAUCGAAUUUUGCAAUUAAUACACGAUUUUAGGAUUUUGCAGAAAUAAUACACGGCCGCUCGAGCCAAGCGUGGUAAGGGGCAACCUCUCAAUGCUAGCGCGGUAGGCGCAGAGCAGCUCGACCGGUUCUUGGACGACGACUUCCUCCUCUUCCUCGCCGACCGUUGAGGCGCAGCAGCUGGACCUGGAGGUGGUGGCGGCGGAGGCGGAGGUUGAACUAAUUUGACAACUUUAAACUAAUUUGACGACGCCAAAUCCAGAACGGUUGAACUUGUUGUGUAUUUAUACUAGACUUUUUUAUUUAUAAUAACUAGACUUGUCUGGAGGGCCAGGGGUAAAAACUUCUCAUAAAAAAUAAACCAUCAUUUCACGUAAUGUAUGUUGUUUUUAUUCACACAUUUUUCGAUACACUAUCUCACAAUAAUAUUUUAAACAGAACUAGCCGAAAAUUGUGUACCCAUGAUCAUGUAUGCAUAUUUGCCAAAACUAUACAUACAUUUUGUUACCUGCUUAGAUACAUUUUGCCAAACCUAUAGGAAAACAAUAAAUAAAACAUUCUUAAGCAAAUAAAUUCAUGACUACUAUAGUAUUCUAGUGCAUUUAUAUGUUUAUUUGUCCAUACCUUCUUAAGUAUCUACACAGCUUCAUAAAUAAAACAAGUAGUCACUUAGAGGAUUCUAGAGUAGAGUAUGAGCCAGUUAAGUUAAGGUAAGACUUAAUGGUGAUUAAACGAGUAAAUUCAGUUUUAAACACAGUCUCUAGAAAAUCAGUUUUGAACCAAUAUAAAGGUAGGGUGGAUCGGGCCCUAAUUUUCCAAGCCAUGAAAUAGACAAGAAAAGAUCGAAUUUUGCAGAUAACACACAAUUUUAGGACUUUGCAUGAAUAAUACACCACCGCUCGAGCCUAGUGUGGUACGGGGCAACCUCUCAGUGCUAGCGCAGUAGGUGCAGAACAGCUUGAUGCUGCUUCGGUUAGCGCCUAGGCGUCCGACCCUGCACAACGGCAGGCCGAGUAAAGGACUUACCUCUCAAAGCUAGAGACAUAAGCUCCUGCCACUUUGGGCCAACGCAGUAAGCCCCUCUCCUUCCCGUCACUUCUUUCCCGCUAUUUCUCCUCAGCCAGUCCUAUAAAAACCCUCAUCGAUUCUUCGUGAUUUAUUAUUGUGUUAGUUGUCUAGCUUGGUAGGGGCUAUGAGUUUGCCUUGCUCGGAUCAUGCUGAUAAGCCGACAAAGAUGAAGGGUGCAAGGUUGCCCCGGGAGGGUGGAACUACGUGGUGUUGGUGUGGAAAUCAUGCCAAGAUGAUGGUGGUGAUGGAUUUUCAUCUGGGCAUGAAGCUUUUCAUGGGUGCCAACUGCCAACUAAAUCCACGAGCACACCUAAACUGACGGAUCCUAUAGUGAUGCAAGGUGGGUGAUGAUGAUGAAGAAGCAAGAACAUGAUCGAGCUCGAGAAGUAAUGAGUUGCGGUGAAUAAAAGGAAGGUGGACUUCUCAUGAUCUUGAUUGUCGGCACGUUGAACAUGGACCCGAAGGCGAAGACGUGGUAUAUGGAGGAGCAGGCCGCCAUCUUGCAAUAAAGGAGGGCAUCGACGACACCGGAAUGAUGGAAGGGUCAUCUUUCGUGGAAGAGCGGACGCCAACAGCGGAGGAUCCAUCUUCCAUUUGAUUUCCAUUCUAUUCAUGCGGUGUUGUAAUAUGUGUGACUGGACCUUGUGGCGUUUUGGCUGCCAGUACUUCAAAUUAUGGCCGAC